rnacentral:tRNA from 1 species
GCCGAAGUAGCUCAGUUGGUAGAGCAGAUGAUUUGUAAUCAUCAGGUCGCAGGUUCGACUCCUGUCUUCGGCUCCA